UCCCCUCGGUAGGUGAGGCUACCUCAAGGAUAUGGAUUGCUGCCGUGAAAAGGUGGAAACACUUUUAACAGGUCAACAGAUUUUGCCGAACAAAGAAGGCUUAAUUUAAUGCAAUUUCACCGCCUUGUAGAGUCAAAGCUUGAACGAUGGAUU
rnacentral:sRNA from 1 species